CAAACCCGGCCGAUGUGGCCUGAAACGUUUUGCAUGGAAUAGUGGAAUAGAACUUCGGUUCUAUUUCGUUUGUCUUCGGAUCUGAAUAAAUGAUCAAAAGAGACAGGCGGGGUCAUUUUUAUGGUUGCGCUAGAGGUGAAAUUUAUCGAACGUAACUAGAAAAACUAAAGCAAAAGCAUUCGUCAAGCAUAUUUUCAUUGGCCAUGAGCGAAAGUCAAAGGCUGAAAGACGAUCACAUACCGUCCUUGUUCUGACAAUAAUCGAUGCCAACUGACGAUCCGUGGUGAUUGUAUUUAAACCCUCCCCAUGGGCAUACCCCGGGAAACCUUUAAGAAUUUGGGUUCCGGGGGAAGUUUGGUUGCCAAGCUGAAACUUAAAGAAAUUGACGGAAGGGCACAACCAGAAGUGGUGCCUGCGGCUUUAUUUGACUCAACACGGGAAAACUCACCCGACCCGGACACAGUGAGGAUUGACAGAUUGAUAGCUAUUUCUUGAUUUGGUGGUUGGUGGUGCAUGGCCGUUUUUAGU
rnacentral:ncRNA from 1 species